rnacentral:rRNA from 1 species
UACAGAGGUCCCGAGCGUUGUUCGGAUUCAUUGGGCGUAAAGGGUGCGUAGGCGGCGGGGCAAGUCUGACGUGAAAUCUCCAAGCUCAACUUGGAAAUGGCGUCGGAUACUAUUCGGCUCGAGGAAUGGAGGGGAGACUGGAAUUCUCGGUGUAGCAGUGAAAUGCGCAGAUAUCAGGAGGAACACCGGUGGCGAAGGCGGGUCUCUGGGCCGAUAUUGACGCUGAGGAGCGAAAGCGUGGGGAGCAAACAGG